rnacentral:rRNA from 1 species
CCUACGGGAGGCAGCAGUGAGGAAUAUUGGGCAAUGGGCGUAAGCCUGAACCAGCAACGCCGCGUGAGGGAUGAAGGUUCUAUGGAUCGUAAACCUCUUUUAUAAGGGCAUAAAGUGUGGGACGAGUCCUAUUUUGUAUGUACCUUAUGAAUAAGGAUCGGCUAGCUCCGUGCCAGCAGCCGCGGUAAUACGGAGGAUCCGAGCGUUAUCCGGAUUUAGUGGGUUUAAAGGGUGCGUAGGCGGCCUUUUAAGUCAGCGGUGAAAGUCUGUGGCUCAACCACCGAACUGCCGUUGAAACUGGGGGGCUUGAGUAUGUGUGAGGCAGGCGGAAUGCGUGGUGUAGCGGUGAAAUGCUUAGAUAUCACGAAGAACUCCGAUUGCGAAGGCAGCUUACUAAACUGCCACUGACAUUGAUGCUCGAAAGUGUGGGUAGCAAACAGGAUUAGAUACCCUUGUAGUC